UACGAAGGGGACUAGCGUUGUUCGGAAUCACUGGGCGUCAAGCGCACGUAGGCGGAUGUGUCAGUCAGGGGUGAAAUCCCGGGGCUCAACCUCGGAACUGCCUUUGAUACAGCACGUCUCGAGUCCGGAAGAGGUGGGUGGAAUUCCUAGUGUAGAGGUGAAAUUCGUAGAUAUUAGGAAGAACACCGGUGGCGAAGGCGGCCCACUGGUCCGGUACUGACGCUGAGGUGCGAAAGCGUGGGGAGCAAACAGG
rnacentral:rRNA from 1 species